rnacentral:rRNA from 1 species
CCUACGGGGGGCAGCAGUGAGGAAUAUUGGUCAAUGGACGCAAGUCUGAACCAGCCAUGCCGCGUGCAGGAUGACGGCUCUAUGAGUUGUAAACUGCUUUUGUACGAGGGUAAACCCCGAUACGUGUCUCGGGUUGAAAGUAUCUUACGAAUAAGGAUCGGCUAACUCCGUGCCAGCAGCCGCGGUAAUACGGAGGAUCCGAGCGUUAUCCGGAUUUAUUGGGUUUAAAGGGUGCGUAGGCGGUUUGAUAAGUUAGAGGUGAAAUGUCGGGGCUCAACCCCGAAACCGCCUCUAAUACUGGUGGACUCGAGAAUAGUUGAGGUAGGCGGAAUGUAUGGUGUAGCGGUGAAAUGCUUAGAGAUCAUACAGAACACCGAUUGCGAAGGCAGCUUACCAA